CUAGUAACAACGAACUGUGAGAAGUCAGCAGAGUCCAUAGUAGUGAGGAAGUCUCAGUAAUGGA
rnacentral:misc_RNA from 1 species